UGAUAAGUAUCAUAACUAUUGAGAGUGGUUUCGACCCACUUAGUGGUGUAGGCCAAUACACCCUUAUCAG
rnacentral:tRNA from 1 species